rnacentral:rRNA from 1 species
CCUACGGGUGGCAGCAGUGGGGGAUAUUGCACAAUGGGGGGAACCCUGAUGCAGCGACGCCGCGUGGGUGAAGAAGCGCCUCGGCGCGUAAAGCCCUGUCAGCAGGGAAGAAAAUGACGGUACCUGAAGAAGAAGCCCCGGCUAACUACGUGCCAGCAGCCGCGGUAAUACGUAGGGGGCAAGCGUUAUCCGGAUUUACUGGGUGUAAAGGGGGCGCAGACGGCGAUGCAAGCCAGGAGUGAAAGCCCGGGGCCCAACCCCGGGACUGCUCUUGGAACUGUAGUUCUUGAGUGUUGGAGAGGCAGGCGGAAGUCCGUGUGUAGCGGUGAAAUGCGUAGAUAUACGGAGGAACACCAGUGGCGAAGGCGGCCUGCUGGACAAUAACUGACGCUGAGGCGCGAAAGCGUGGGGAGCAAACAGGAUUAGAUACCCUGGUAGUC